rnacentral:tRNA from 1 species
GUAGGCAUAGCUCAGUUGGUUAGAGCACCAGAUUGUGGUUCUGGGGGUCGUGGGUUCGAGCCCCAUUGCUUACCCCA